AGGAACUUAAGUUAAAUAAACCCCCCGCCUUCAAAGCGUGACAUAUGUGCCACACAUAGUUCCUG
rnacentral:tRNA from 1 species